AUUGAACGCUGGCGGCAGGCCUAACACAUGCAAGUCGAACGGUAACAGGAAGAAGCUUGCUUCUUUGCUGACGAGUGGCGGACGGGUGAGUAAUGUCUGGGAAACUGCCUGAUGGAGGGGGAUAACUACUGGAAACGGUAGCUAAUACCGCAUAACGUCUCAAGACCAAAGAGCGGGACCUACCGGCCUCUUGCCAUCGGAUGUGCCCAGAUGGGAUUAGCUAGGAGGUGGGGUAACGGCUCACCUAGGCGACGAUCACUAGCUGGUCGGAGAGGAUGACCAGCCACACUGGAACUGAGACACGGUCCAGACUCCUACGGGAGGCAGCAGUGGGGAAUAUUGCGCAAUGGGCGCAAGCCUGAUGCAGCCAUGCCGCGUGUAUGAAGAAGGCCUUCGGGUUGUAAAAUACUUUCAGCGGGGAGGAAGGGAGUAAAGUUAAUACCUUUGCUCAUUGACGUUACCCGCAGAAGAAGCACCGGCUAACUCCGUG
rnacentral:rRNA from 1 species